UUGUGUUUAAAAGAGAAAACACAUUAUUCUGUUCCCUUUCUAAACUAAUGGAUAGUGAUUCUUUUAAAAAUUUACAAGGUUUUUUUUUUUUUUUUUUUUUGCAACAGCUAAUCAUCACUUGAUAAAAAAGCACAAGCAAACAGACUGAUGUCUCUGUAAGGCUCCAGUUUCACUUGGUUCUGAAAGGACUUAAGAAGCUCUACUUAGAGAUCAAAGAGGUGGACUACACUAAUAAGCAGGAGGAGAGGAGAUAGGAAAUGAAUAAUUAAGAUGGAUUUAUCAGAAACAAGGAGAUCAUAUUGAAAUGUAUUCCUGGAGCACCGGGGCUUCACUGACCUCUCUGCUGUGGCUGGAGUCAAUGGUGAUUUCGCAUCACAGCACACCAAGCUUCUCUCCACUGUGUUGGCUGUCUUUGGGAAAACAGAAGGCCCUCCUGAAGAUGGUGAAACUGUCCCUUGUCUCUCAGUAAGUUCCCUUGAUCUUGCCUCUUUGUCUUGAUUUGGACUUUAUGUUGAAUCAUCUAUUUUCCCAUGCUCUUCCUAAUUAAUUUGCUAGGCUAAAUUAGUGCCAAAUAAAUAAUGAGUUUCCAAAUUAACUGACA
rnacentral:lncRNA from 1 species